rnacentral:RNase_P_RNA from 1 species
AUGGCCCACGCAAGUGGGAUCAGGUAAGGGUGAAAGGGUGCGGUAAGAGCGCACCGCGCGGCUGGUAACAGUCCGUGGCACGGUAAACUCCACCCGGAGCAAGGCCAAAUAGGGGUUCAUAAGGUACGGCCCGUACUGAACCCGGGUAGGCUGCUUGAGCCAGUGAGCGAUUGCUGGCCUAGAUGAAUGACUGUCCACGACAGAACCCGGCUUAUCGGUCAGCUUCACCA